rnacentral:rRNA from 1 species
AGAGUUUGAUCAUGGCUCAGAUUGAACGCUGGCGGCAUGCCUUACACAUGCAAGUCGAACGGCAGCACAGGAGCUUGCUCCUGGUGGCGAGUGGCGAACGGGUGAGUAAUGCAUCGGAACGUGCCCUGAAGUGGGGGAUAACGCAGCGAAAGUUGCGCUAAUACCGCAUAUUCUGUGAGCAGGAAAGCAGGGGAUCGCAAGACCUUGCGCUUUAGGAGCGGCCGAUGUCGGAUUAGCUAGUUGGUGGGGUAAAGGCUCACCAAGGCGACGAUCCGUAGCGGGUCUGAGAGGAUGAUCCGCCACACUGGGACUGAGACACGGCCCAGACUCCUACGGGAGGCAGCAGUGGGGAAUUUUGGACAAUGGGCGAAAGCCUGAUCCAGCCAUGCCGCGUGAGUGAAGAAGGCCUUCGGGUUGUAAAGCUCUUUCGGCGGGGAAGAAAUCGCAUUCUCUAAUACAGGAUGUGGAUGACGGUACCCGAAUAAGAAGCACCGGCUAACUACGUGCCAGCAGCCGCGGUAAUACGUAGGGUGCGAGCGUUAAUCGGAAUUACUGGGCGUAAAGCGUGCGCAGGCGGUUUCGUAAGACAGACGUGAAAUCCCCGGGCUCAACCUGGGAACUGCGUUUGUGACUGCGAGGCUAGAGUUUGGCAGAGGGGGGUGGAAUUCCACGUGUAGCAGUGAAAUGCGUAGAGAUGUGGAGGAACACCGAUGGCGAAGCAGCCCCCUGGGCCAAUACUGACGCUCAUGCACGAAAGCGUGGGGAGCAAACAGAUUAGAUACCCUGGUAGUCCACGCCCUAAACGAUGUCACUAGUGUGGGAGGUCAAACUCUUAGUGCCGUAGCUAACGCGUGAAGUUGACCGCCU